rnacentral:rRNA from 1 species
UACGUAGGGUGCAAGCGUUAAUCGGAAUUACUGGGCGUAAAGCGUGCGCAGGCGGUUUCACCAGUCAAACGUGAAAUCCCCGGGCUUAACCUGGGAACUGCCUUUGUGACUGUGCGGCUAGAGUGUGUCAGAGGGGGGUAGAAUUCCACGUGUAGCAGUGAAAUGCGUAGAGAUGUGGAGGAAUACCGAUGGCGAAGGCAGCCCCCUGGGAUGACACUGACGCUCAUGCACGAAAGCGUGGGGAGCAAACAGG